rnacentral:rRNA from 1 species
UACGUAGGUGGCAAGCGUUGUCCGGAUUUACUGGGUGUAAAGGGCGUGCAGCCGGAGAGACAAGUCAGAUGUGAAAUCCACGGGCUCAACCCGUGAACUGCAUUUGAAACUGUUUCCCUUGAGUACCGGAGAGGUCAUCGGAAUUCCUUGUGUAGCGGUGAAAUGCCUAGAUAUAAGGAAGAACACCAGUGGCGAAGGCGGAUGACUGGACGGCAACUGACGGUGAGGCGCGAAAGCGUGGGGAGCAAACAGG